rnacentral:lncRNA from 1 species
AAAAUCCAUGCACACACACCUACAAGGUUCACCAUGAAAGUUAAAAAUCAAAAUGACAUUAAGAUUAGGAUUAAAGCCAAAAAUUGGCAUAACUUUGCCCAUAAUCAAAAGAUGAGAGAGAGAGGGCUUAGGAAACCAAGCCACUCUUAUACAAUUGAGUAGUGGAUUUUGAAAGGGCAGCCAAAUCUCCACCCUUGAUCUCUAAGAUCCCUUAUGUAGAUCUAUGGCCUUCAUUCAUCCAAGAGCUAAUUUUAUGACCAAGGCUGAUGGCUCUUAUAAGUGGGAAUGAAAACACUUUUUAAUAAAUCUAACUUCACCAUUGUCUUCAAAAAACCUUUUUAUGUUAAGAUUAACUAUUCACAUGCCUCAAAUUAUGCUCAUUUGCAACUUUUAUGAAGGUUUUUUUACUUACAAGGAUUUUGGCAAUUUUUGUAAAAAUUCUUCAAAAAGUGAGAAUUUCAUUGUUCUACUUGUACUUUGAAGGAAAAGAUGCUAAUCUUGUUUUCUUCACUCCAUAUGGUGCAUCCGAUGCCUCCAUUGCAUUUGAAAGGCUUCCAUAAAUUAGAAGAACUACUUUAUUGCUUGGAUUUGUUGAAUUAGGAAAAAAAAUCUUCAAAACCAUCAUAAUUAAACCUCAC